rnacentral:rRNA from 1 species
UUCCUACGGGAGGCAGCAGUGAGGAAUUUUCUGCAAUGGGCGAAAGCCUGACAGAGCAAUACCGCGUGAGGGAAUAAGAAGGCCUAUGGGUUGUAAACCUCUUUUCUCAAAGAAGAAGAUCUGACGUUAUUUGAGGAAUAAGCAUCGGCUAACCCUGUGCCAGCAGCCGCGGUAAGACAGGGGAUGCGAGUGUUAUCCGGAAUUAUUGGGCGUAAAGCGUCUGUAGGUUGAAUUCAAAGUCUUUUGUAAAAUCUUUAAGCUCAACUUAAAAACCGCAAAAGAUACUAGUUUUCUUGAGUAUGGUAGAGGUAAAGGGAAUUUCCAGUGGAGCGGUGAAAUGCGUAGAGAUUGGAAGGAACACCAAAAGCGAAGGCACUUUACUGGGCCAUUACUGACACUGAGAGACGAAAGCUAAGGGAGCAAACGGGAUUAGAUACCCCGGUAGUCUUAGCAGUAAACCAUGGAUACUAGAUGUUGUAAAUAUUUACAGUGUCGUAGUUAACGCGUUAAGUAUCCCGCCUGGGAAGUAUGCUCGCAAGAGUGAAACUCAAAUGAAUUGACGGAA